rnacentral:rRNA from 1 species
UUNGGNGCUCUCCCAUAUGGUCGNACCUGCAGGCGGCCGCGAAUUCACUAGUGAUUAGAGUUUGAUCCUGGCUCAGGAUGAACGCUGGCGGCGUGCCUAACACAUGCAAGUCGAACGAAGCAAUUAAAGGAAGUUUUCGGAUGGAAUUUGAUUGACUGAGUGGCGGACGGGUGAGUAACGCGUGGAUAACCUGCCUCACACUGGGGGAUAACAGUUAGAAAUGACUGCUAAUACCGCAUAAGCGCACAGUACCGCAUGGUACGGUGUGAAAAACUCCGGUGGUGUGAGAUGGAUCCGCGUCUGAUUAGCCAGUUGGCGGGGUAACGGCCCACCAAAGCGACGAUCAGUAGCCGACCUGAGAGGGUGACCGGCCACAUUGGGACUGAGACACGGCCCAAACUCCUACGGGAGGCAGCAGUGGGGAAUAUUGCACAAUGGGCGAAAGCCUGAUGCAGCGACGCCGCGUGAGUGAAGAAGUAUUUCGGUAUGUAAAGCUCUAUCAGCAGGGAAGAAAAUGACGGUACCUGACUAAGAAGCCCCGGCUAACUACGUGCCAGCAGCCGCGGUAAUACGUAGGGGGCAAGCGUUAUCCGGAUUUACUGGGUGUAAAGGGAGCGUAGACGGCGAANCAAGUCUGAAGUGAAAACCCAGGGCUCAACCCUGGGACUGCUUUGGAAACUGUUUUGCUAGAGUGUCGGAGAGGUAAGUGGAAUUCCUAGUGUAGCGGUGAAAUGCGUAGAUAUUANAANGAACACCAGUGGCGAAGGCGGCUUACUGNACGAUAACUGACGUUGAGGCUCNAAAGCGUGGGGGAGCAAACAGGNAUUAGAUACCCUGNNAGUCCACGCCGUAAACGAUGAAUGCUAGGNUGNUGGGGGGC